UUAAAGCAGUAGUGCGCUUCAGGAUCGGCCCGCCCCCGAUUAGCUAGUUGGUGAGGUCAAGGCUCACCAAGGCGACGAUCGGUAGCUGGUCUGAGAGGAUGGUCAGCCACACUGGAACUGAGAUACGGUCCAGACUCCUACGGGGGGCAGCAGUCUAGAGGCUUCGGCAAUGGGGGCAACCCUGACCGAGCGACGCCGCGUGUGGGAUUGAAGGCCUUCGGGUCGUAAACCACUGUCAUUGGGAAAGAAUGCCCGGAUGGCGAAUCCGGGAGAGACGGUACCCAAGAAGGAAGCCCCGGCUAACUCCGUGCCAGCAGCCGCGGUAAUACGGAGGGGGCAAGCGUUGUUCGGAUUUACUGGGCGUAAAGGGUGUGUAGGCGG
rnacentral:rRNA from 1 species